UAGCGAAGGGGGCUAGCGUUGCUUCGGAAUUAGCUGGGCGUAAAGCGCACGUUAGGCGGAUCGUUAAGUCGGGGGUGAAAUCCUGGAGCUCAACUCCAGAACUGCCUUCGAUACUGGCGAUCUCGAGUUCGGGGAGAGGUGAGUGGAACUGCGAGUGUAGAGGUGAAAUUCGUAGAUAUUCGCAAGAACACCAGUGGCGAAGGCGGCUCACUGGCCCGAUACUGACGCUGAGGUGCGAAAAGCGUGGGGGAGCAAACAGG
rnacentral:rRNA from 1 species